rnacentral:rRNA from 1 species
AUGAACGCUGGCGGCGUGCCUAAUACAUGCAAGUCGAGCGAGCGGACGAGAAGCUUGCUUUUCUGAUGUUAGCGGCGGACGGGUGAGUAACACGUGGAUAACCUACCUAUAAGACUGGGAUAACUUCGGGAAACCGGAGCUAAUACCGGAUAAUAUUUUGAACCGCAUGGUUCAAAAGUGAAAGACGGUCUUGCUGUCACUUAUAGAUGGAUCCGCGCUGCAUUAGCUAGUUGGUAAGGUAACGGCUUACCAAGGCAACGAUGCAUAGCCGACCUGAGAGGGUGAUCGGCCACACUGGAACUGAGACACGGUCCAGACUCCUACGGGAGGCAGCAGUAGGGAAUCUUCCGCAAUGGGCGAAAGCCUGACGGAGCAACGCCGCGUGAGUGAUGAAGGUCUUCGGAUCGUAAAACUCUGUUAUUAGGGAAGAACAUAUGUGUAAGUAACUGUGCACAUCUUGACGGUACCUAAUCAGAAAGCCACGGCUAACUACGUG